UUUAGACUUGUGAUACACUACCAAUGGACACCUGAAGUUCUGAUAGGAAACUCUUGGAGACAACCAUAAUUUAAAAUUUAGCGAGGCUGCUAUGGGAAAGUAAAGAAAACCUUACCAUAGAUUGUCCAAAUCUCACACUUGCCGUACAUGGACAUACAAGUCUCUAACCAAACUAGAAAGAUCCUUAUAAACACCAGAAGUUCAGAACUAAUGUAACUG
rnacentral:misc_RNA from 1 species